UGGGGAAUAUUGGACAAUGGGCGCAAGCCUGAUCCAGCCAUGCCGCGUGAGUGAUGAAGGCCCUAGGGUUGUAAAGCUCUUUCACCGGUGAAGAUAAUGACGGUAACCGGAGAAGAAGCCCCGGCUAACUUCGUGCCAGCAGCCGCGGUAAUACGAAGGGGGCUAGCGUUGUUCGGAUUUACUGGGCGUAAAGCGCACGUAGGCGGACUUUUAAGUCAGGGGUGAAAUCCCGGGGCUCAACCCCGGAACUGCCGUUGAUACUGGAAGUCUUGAGUAUGGUAGAGGUGAGUGGAAUUCCGAGUGUAGAGGUGAAAUUCGUAGAUAUUCGGAGGAACACCAGUGGCGAAGGCGGCUCACUGGACCAUUACUGACGCUGAGGUGCGAAAGCGUGGGGAGCAAACAGG
rnacentral:rRNA from 1 species